rnacentral:tRNA from 1 species
GCCUGGGUGGCUCAGUCGGUUGGGCGGCUGACUUCGGCUCAGCUCAUGAUCUCGCGGUCCGUGGGUUCGAGCCCCGCGUCAGGCU